rnacentral:rRNA from 1 species
GACGUAGGGCGCGAGCGUUGUCCGGAUUUAUUGGGCGUAAAGAGCGUGUAGGCGGCUUUACAGGUCCGUUGUGAAAACUCGAGGCUCAACCUCGAGACGCCGGUGGAAACCGUAAAGCUAGAGUCCGGAAGAGGAGAGUGGAAUUCCUGGUGUAGCGGUGAAAUGCGUAGAUAUCAGGAGGAACACCGGUGGCGAAGGCGGCUCUCUGGACCGAGACUGACGCUGAGGCGCGAAAGCGUGGGGAGCAAACAGG